rnacentral:misc_RNA from 1 species
GUAGGUGAACCUGCGGAAGGAUCAUUAACACGUUCCAUCCUUAUCAACCAAACUGUGAACUUGUAUUUGGCUUAUGUCUAUUUUAUAGGCAUAGGUCCAUUUAAAAAGUCAAUAUUUAAUAUAUGGAACCCUAUAUCUUUCAGAUUACAUCUGAUUUAUAUAUGGAUUCCUGUAUUAUUAUUUUCUUUUUUACACCAACGCCCUAAAACACCUGCAAAUGUAAUAGUUUGCAGCUGUUGAAACCAUUGAU